GUGGGGAAUAUUGGACAAUGGGCGCAAGCCUGAUCCAGCAAUGCCGCGUGGGUGAAGAAGGUCUUCGGAUCGUAAAGCCCUUUCGACAGGGACGAUGAUGACGGUACCUGUAGAAGAAGCCCCGGCUAACUUCGUGCCAGCAGCCGUGGUAAUACGAAGGGGGCUAGCGUUACUCGGAAUUACUGGGCGUAAAGGGCGCGUAGGCGGCUCUGUUAGUCAGGCGUGAAAUUCCUGGGCUUAACCUGGGGACUGCGCUUGAUACUGCAGGGCUUGAGGCCGAGAGAGGGUGGUGGAAUUCCCAGUGUAGAGGUGAAAUUCGUAGAUAUUGGGAAGAACACCGGUGGCGAAGGCGACCACCUGGCUCGGUUCUGACGCUGAGGCGCGACAGCGUGGGGAGCAAACAGGAUUAGAAACCCUUGUAGUCC
rnacentral:rRNA from 1 species